rnacentral:lncRNA from 1 species
AUUUAGUGAAGCAGCAUCUGGCAUGCCACCUUGCAUGCCACCCAGCAUGCGCUCAAGAUCUGGGAGAGCAACCCCACCUAAGCCAGCAGGUGGCGGUGCCCUAGUUUCCCCAGCAGCAUUUGACCUAGCAGUGGUAUUAGUUUGGCCAGCUCCAGCUGCAAAAAGUCAAAUCAAGAAAACGAACAAUAAAAACAAAACAUAAUACCAACAAAAACAAUCACUAUUGUAUCGAUCCAAGAAGAAAACAUCAUGAAAUACUCUAAUGCCUAAAUACCGCCUGCUCAAGGCUCCUAACUGUAACAUAGAAUUAGGCAUACAAUAUGGAGGAUGAAAAUUCUUGCAAAUCAAACAUGAGAAGCUUUAUGAGAAUUGAAGAUUUUAUUUGUAGUGUGCAAUGCUUCCCCUGGUGAGUAUAAAUUCAAAACACACAUUUCACAAGUCAUUCACAACCAAUUAUAGCAGCCAAGUACAAAUUCUUGCAGAAGCACAAAAGGAAGAAGAGAAGUCACUGCCUAUUAUAAGAGAUAUCUGAAUUCAUUCAAAGAAGAGGUGAAGCCCAGCGGGGACAAAAAACACAGGGUGGUUUCUUCCCAUCUGUCUAAGCCUAAGCCUUAGCCUUGGUGGGCAGAGUUACCCAGUACAUGUGUUCGUGGGAGUUAGCGAGUAUUUGGUGGAACACUCAAGGUACGUGCAACCUAACCCGGACGCCACCGUAUCCAAAAAAACAAAGAGGCAAAGUAAUUAAGCAUGUCUAAAUCACGCAAAGCUUGUACAAUCAAAGGAUAAGAAAUGAUAUUAGCUUACCGCCAGCAGAAGCCCAAGGAUUAGGAAGUGGAUUAGUAUUUGGAACAGGUGUGUUAGCAGUGGUCUCAGAACCAGUAGUUGGAGGAUUCGUAGACUGGUCUCUGCCUUGCCCCGGCCCCUGGGCUCCCAAAAGAGCUGCAAACGGGUUUGAGCCAACAUCAUUUCUUGCAUCUCCAGCCAUAGUUGUUGCAUUUAGGAAAGGCUCCUGGACAUUUUCAUACAUGCGCCUCAGCAUGUUAAAUCCCUCGGGAGAAGACUCAAUAUUGCUCAUUGCCCUGUCAGUAUUACGCAUCAUCUCACGCAUAAGCUCAGGGUUCCGUGCAGCCUCCAUCGUCUGGCGAAGAGUAGCAGGAUCAUUGAGUACAUGAGCAAGCUCUGGAUUACGAUCCAUGAUCUCUCGCAUUUGAGGAUUGUUCAUGAUCAUGUUACGGAUGAUUUCUGGGUUACUCAUCAUAUUCUGAACGAGAGGCAUGUUCAUGAUGUCUCUCAUCAUGUUGGGGUUUUGAGUCAACUGCUGCUGGACCUGCUCAAAAUCCGGAAGGCCAGCUCCAAAUAAACCACUGCCGCCACCGCCACCACUUCCAAGACCAGGAAACAGUGAAGCCCCAAGGCCCGAUCCAGCAAAUGGUCCACCUACAUUUGGAGCGGCAUC